rnacentral:rRNA from 1 species
GUCCCCGCAGCGGAAGCGCAAGAAGAAGGGCCGCCCGUCGCUCCUCGACCUCCAGCGCCGCAGCCUCCGCCUGCAGGCGCAGAGCCCCGAGGCCGCGUCCCCGCCGCCCCCCGCCCGCCGCGGCCCCGACCCCUCCGACGACGACGAGGACGCGGGGGGCGCCAGCACCGGGCGGCGCCGCCAGAAGCGGCUCAAGAACGUCCUCUCCGGCUCCGGCGAGGAGGAGGAGGGAGCUGCGGUGGAGGAGAAGAAGGAUGCGGCGAAAGCGACGGGGAAAGGGGCCGCUGCGUCGUCGGGUGGCGGGCCCACGGGGACGCCCCUCCCGGACAAAAAGUUGCUGCUCUUCAUCCUCGACAGGCUCCAGAAGAAGGACACCUAUGGAGUUUACUCGGACCCCGUCGACCCGGAGGAGCUUCCGGAUUACCAUGAGCUCAUCGAGCAUCCCAUGGACUUCUCAACCAUCCGCGAGAAGCUUUUGAGCGACAAGUAUACCAUCUUGGAGCAGUUCGAGAAUGAUGUAUUUCUACUUACAUCCAAUGCCAUGUCCUACAAUUCAGAAGACACAGUAUACUAUCGCCAGGCACGGUCUAUUGAAGCUCUUGCCAGAAAGGAUUUUGAGAACUUGAGGCAAGCUAGUGAUAGUGAAGAAGAACAACCGAAGACAGCACCUAGAAGAGGCAGGCCACCAAAAAAUGCAAAGAAAACAGUUGAGAAGGUUGAGGGCGAUGGUUCACCAGAUUUAUCCAAUGUAAAAGGAAACAGAUCUGUAGACAACACUGAGACAAGAAAAAGAUGGACUAGUGAGAGAACUCGAAAUAAUAUUACCAUGAGAGAUUCAUCCAUUCUUCACCACAGCACGUUCGGUUCUUUUAGUGGUAAAAAAACAGAGAAAACUGGUGUUUACUCAGGGUCUUCGAAGUAUGGAAAGAAGACUACUAUUUUAGAUGAUGAUCGGCGGAGUACAUAUGAUCAGCAAUACUCAAAUUAUAGUCCUCUUUUUUCUGCCCUCGAUUGUGAGCGGAAACAACUAAUUCCAAUUGGGCUUCAGCAGCAACAUGCAUAUGCCAGGAGCUUGGCACGGUUUGCGGCAAAGCUCGGACCAAUUGGAUGGGAUAUAGCAGCGAAAGGAAUCAGACGUGUAUUACCACCCGGGACAAAGUUUGGCCCAGGAUGGGUUGUAGAUGGCGAGCCACCUCAAAACUCGCAGUGUCCGCGAGUUCCUGAAGUUACCGACCCGUCCGCAAAGUCCAGUAUUCCAUCAUGCGGUAUACCACCCAAAAGCGAUGAUCUACGUCGGAGUUCUGAGCUAUCUUCAGAUGGGGAUGCUGCCGCAGGUGAAGAGUAUCUGACUAAAAACCAGCCAGUGGCGUCUACAUCAGCAGGCUUUGAAAGGAGCUCUACACCUGCCAGUAAAAUACCCACGUAUGAAAAUGGAGCUACCAUGACAGGUGAUGGUGUGGGUAAUACUCGACCAACGCCUCCGUUACAGCAGCAGAGUACCAGUCAAGAAGUCCCCUCUAAUAUCAACGGAAUGACUGCUGCGCCGAACACCAUGGGUCAGUAUGCUGGACAAGGUUUAUUUGAGCAAAUGACGCAUGCCCAAGUGCUCGGGAUGUUUUCUGGAGUCAAUGGCAGAGCCAACGGCUUUCGCCAUGGUCACCAACUGACGGAGGAGAGUGUUAAAACAGUGCAGAAUGGAGUAAUUGGAAAGGCAGCUACCACCACCAGCCCCUUGCAAGAAGCAGAUCAUGAUCCAAAGGGUUCAUAUCCACAAGACGAGAACAGGUCCGCAUCUCCAAGCUUGAAUGCUGCCGGUUCCCCGCCUAGGGGGAAAGCGGCAGCGAACCCGAAGCAACCAGACUUGGUGUUACAGCUGUGAGCGCCGUAGCAGCCAUUGACAUACAUAGUUAGUAUCUGCCACCCCUGAUGGAAACGAGAUGGAUCGGAAAUUCAGAAUCCUGCUUCUCCAGGGCCGAUCGAUCAUCCAGCUCCGGAUCCGCUGAUAGUACACCCGAGAGGUGCCCAAGAGCUUGGAAGGAUAACCAAAGACUUAACCAACCGAUGGAGAAUAAAAUGAGGGUCGUGGGAAUUGAACCCUAGCGAGCGGGCGAAUGAAGUUGUUGUAAAAGGGUAGGUAGUGUACAGAUUCUGAUCCUAUUGGAGACGACGAUAAUGUUCCAGCGCUCGCUCGCCUGGUAGCAUCAACCGAAUCGAAUGUGUAACAUUAUUUAUAGUAGAGAAGUUAGCAUACAAGCAAGCAAGCAAAGCGGGAAGAGGGCAAAGGUGAAUAGUCGUGCCGUUUCCUCCGUUCCAUCUUGACCUGAGCAGCGGCCUGUGGCAUGAUCAUGUUCUAGUAGUAGUAAGAAUCCAAUCUCCUGACCUGGUUAUGUCUUAUGUGGUGGUAGUGGUAAUGAUUUGUUGAAGUUGAAUAUAUUUCCUGCUGUGGAAUCUUGUUGGUAUAUGCUGAAGAAAUUGGAUGAAUGGAUGGAUGGAUG